UGGACAUAUCAUGUUCAAACACCAGUUCUCGUAUGUUCACUGAAGUUAAGCAACAUUGAGCCAGGACAGCACCUAGAUAGGUGACUGCUUGGGAAUACCAGGUGCUAUA